rnacentral:rRNA from 1 species
UACGGGAAGGCAGCAGUGGGGAAUAUUGCACAAUGGGCGAAAGCCUGAUGCAGCUAUGCCGCGUGUAUGAAGAAGGCCUUAGGGUUGUAAAGUACUUUCAUCGGGGAGGAAAAAACAAAACUAAUAAUUUUAUUUCUUGACGUUACCCGAAAAAGAAGCACCGGCUAACUCCGUGCCAGCAGCCGCGGUAAUACGGAGGGUGCUAGCGUUAAUCAGAAUUACUGGGCGUAAAGAGCACGUAGGUGGUUUUUUUAAGUCAGAUGUGAAAUCCCUGGGCUUAACCUAGGAACUGCAUUUUGAAACUGAAAUACUAGAGUAUCGUAGAGGGAGGUAGAAUUCUAGGUGUAGCGGUGAAAUGCGUAGAUAUCUGGAGGAAUACCUGUGGCGAAAGCGGCCUCCUAAACGAAUACUGACACUGAGGUGCGAAAGCGUGGGGAGCAAACAGGGAUUAGGAUACC